GAUGAACGCUGGCGGCGUGCCUAAUACAUGCAAGUCGAGCGAACGGACGAGAAGCUUGCUUUUCUGCUGGUAGCGGCGGACGGGCGAGUAACACGUGGAUAACCUACUUAUAAGUCUGGGAUAACUUCGGGAAACCGGAUCUAAUAACGGAUAAUAUUUUGAACCGCAGGGUUCAGAAGUGAAAGACGGUCUUGCUGUCACUUUUAGAUGGAGCCGCGCUGCAUUAGCUAGUUGGUAAGGUAACGGCCUACCAAGGCAACGAUGCAUAGCCGACCUGAGAGGAUGAUCGGCCACACUGGAACUGAGACACGGUCCAGACUCCUACGGGAGGCAGCAGUAGGGAAUCUUCCGCAAUGGGCGCAAGCCUGACGCAGCAACGCCGCGUGAGUGAUGAAGGCCUUCGGAUCGUAAAACUCUUUUAUUAGGGAAGAACAUAUGUGUAAGUAACUGCGGCCAUCUUGACGGUACCUAAUCAGAAAGCAACGGCUAACUACGUG
rnacentral:rRNA from 1 species